UGCGUAGGCGGCUUUAUAAGUCAGAGGUGAAAGCUUACAGCUUAACUGUGAAACUGCCUUUGAAACUGUAAAGCUUGAAUCACGUUGAGGUCAGCGGAAUGUGGCAUGUAGCGGUGAAAUGCAUAGAUAUGCCAUAGAACACCAAUUGCGAAGGCAGCUGGCUAGGCGUGUAUUGACGCUGAGGCACGAAAGCGUGGGGAGCGAACAGGAUUAGAUACCCUGGUAGUCC
rnacentral:rRNA from 1 species